rnacentral:rRNA from 1 species
AGCGAACGCUGGCGGCGUGCUUAACACAUGCAAGUCGAACGGACUCAGGGGGCAACUCCUGAGUUAGUGGCGAACGGGUGAGUAACACGUGGGUAAUCUCCCCCCGAGUGAGGGAUAAGCUUGCGAAAGCGGGUCUAAUACCGCAUGACACUCCGGGACGUCGGUCUUCGGAGUCAAAGCCGUAAGGCGCUUGGGGAUGAGCCUGCGUCCUAUUAGCUAGUUGGUAGGGUAAUGGCCUACCAAGGCGAUGAUGGGUAGCCGGCCUGAGAGGGUGAACGGCCACACUGGAACUGAGACACGGUCCAGACUCCUACGGGAGGCUG